UACGGAGGAUGCGAGCGUUAUCCGGAUUUAUUGGGUUUAAAGGGUGCGCAGGCGGCACGGCAAGCCGGCGGUCAAAUCGCGGGGCUCAACCCCGCCCAGCCGUCGGAACUGCCGGGCUAGAGUGGGCGAGAAGUGCGCGGAAUGCGUGGUGUAGCGGUGAAAUGCGUAGAUAUCACGCAGAACUCCGAUUGCGAAGGCAGCGCACCGGAGCCCUACUGACGCUCAGGCACGAAAGCGUGGGUAUCGAACAGG
rnacentral:rRNA from 1 species